CAGGCCAGAGGAGUGCAGAACAGUGAGCUGCUGCUGAGGGGAGAGAGGAUGGCCUGAGAGCUGACCUAAGAGGCAGGGCUGGCUGUGUUACAGCAGCCUCUGUGUCCUCCUGCUUUGUCUGUGAGGGCCAGAGGGCCAGAAGAGAACAUGCCCAGACAACGAAACCCUGCUGUCCUCUGCUGCUCAGCUGGAGAGAUGUUCCGCCUUCCUGAAGGACGCUGAUACAAAGAUAAGUAAUCAAAGUGAGUCCAGGCUGGCUGUCCUUGUGGGCAUCAGCUGCUGGCAGCUGCCUCUGUGCUGCCAUGGGCAGGGCACAGCACACACAGUGUUUGCAGUUCCCUAUGUGACACUGGCCCUGGUGACCUGACAGCCAUAGGGAGACAGUAGAAAGAGCUGCCUCCCUCUGCCAGAUUAGGCAAAGAAAUAUUUGAUGCUUCUUUAUGAAAGUCAUCCUAACAAAAGUGUACUGAUGUCUUUGCUGAGGAUUUCCUUGGUUCCAGCCUGAAGGUGUGCGCAGGCAUGAGCAGGCAGUGCUGAGCUGCAGAAAAAUAGAGGAGAGUGUGCCCUCACCUUGGACCCCUCCUGCCCUCUUCUGCUGAGAUGGAGAAAUGUCCCAGUUCUAGAAGGACAUCAGGACAAAGAUAUGUAAUGAAAAUAAGUCAAGGCUGCCUGUACUUGAGGGCUUCAGCUGCUGGCGUCUGUAGGCAUCAGGAAGGAUGGAAAGGCUGGUGUUUGCCAUGGGCAGGGAAACACAUCUGGUUUUCCUCUUCUCUUUGUCUUUUGAGUGCCAGAGGCCAGGAGGAUUCCUGUUUCCAUGGACUAUCAGCAAAUUUUCUUUCACUUUGCCGAUCAUACAUUCUUCUGGACCCUGAGGAUCCACCUGACAAUUUGCCAAUAGUUCUAACUAGACAAACACAGACUGAAGAAUCUCUCAGUUUUCAGCAUGUCCUCAUCAGGUGGCAGUUUGGUCCUCUCCUCCAGGCUGCAUGA
rnacentral:lncRNA from 1 species